UACGUAGGGGGCAAGCGUUGUCCGGAAUCACUGGGCGUAAAGCGCGCGCAGGCGGCCGUCUGCGUCCGGGGUGAAAGCCCAGAGCUCAACUCUGGGACUGCCUUGGAUACGGGAUGGCUUGAGGGUCGGAGAGGCAAGGGGAAUUCCACGUGUAGCGGUGAAAUGCGUAGAGAUGUGGAGGAACACCUGUGGCGAAGGCGCCUUGCUGGCCGAUUUCUGACGCUGAGACGCGAAAGCGUGGGGAGCAAACAGG
rnacentral:rRNA from 1 species